rnacentral:rRNA from 1 species
UAAUACGGAGGGUGCGAGCGUUGUUCGGAUUUAUUGGGCGUAAAGGGCGCGUAGGCGGAUUGGUCAGUCACUUGGUGAAAUCUUCACCGCUUAACGGGAAAAUUGCCGGAGAUACUGCCAGUCUUGAGAGCGGUAGAGGUGAGUGGAAUUCCGGGUGUAACGGUGGAAUGUUUAGAUAUCCGGAAGAACACCAGUGGCGAAGGCGACUCACUGGACCGUAUCUGACGCUGAGGCGCGAAAGCCAGGGGAGCGAACGGGAUUAGAUACCCCGGUAGUCCUGGCCGUAAACGGUGAACACUAGGUGUAGGAGGUAUCGACCCCUUCUGUGCCGCCGCAAACGCAUUAAGUGUUCCGCCUGGGGAGUACGACCGCAAGGUUG